rnacentral:tRNA from 1 species
GGUAGUGUGGUCUAAGGCGCUGGAUUUAGGCUCCAGUCUCUAUGGAGGCGUGGGUUCAAAUCCCCCCACUGCCA